GAUGAACGCUGGCGGCGUGCCUAAUACAUGCAAGUCGAGCGAACGGACGAGAAGCUUGCUUCUCUGAUGUUAGCGGCGGACGGGUGAGUAACACGUGGAUAACCUACCUAUAAGACUGGGAUAACUUCGUGAAACCGGAGCUAAUACCGGAUGAUAUUUUGAACCGCAUGGUUCAAAAGUGAAAGACGGUCUUGCUGUCACUUAUAGAUGGAUCCGCGCUGCAUUAGCUAGUUGGUAAGGUAACGGCUUACCAAGGCAACGAUGCAUAGCCGACCUGAGAGGGUGAUCGGCCACACUGGAACUGAGACACGGUCCAGACUCCUACGGGAGGCAGCAGAAGGGAAUCUUCCGCAAUGGGCGAAAGCCUGACGGAGCAACGCCGCGUGAGUGAUGAAGGUCUUCGGAUCGUAAAACUCUGUUAUUAGGGAAGAACAUAUGUGUAAGUAACUGUGCACAUCUUGACGGUACCUAAUCAGAAAGCCACGGCUAACUACGUG
rnacentral:rRNA from 1 species